UAGUCCACGCCGUAAACGAUGAUAACUAGCUGUCCGGGCACAUGGUGCUUGGGUGGCGCAGCUAACGCAUUAAGUUAUCCGCCUGGGGAGUACGGUCGCAAGAUUAAAACUCAAAGGAAUUGACGGGGGCCUGCACAAGCGGUGGAGCAUGUGGUUUAAUUCGAAGCAACGCGCAGAACCUUACCAGCCUUUGACAUCCUGGUCGCGGGGAGAGGAGACUCACCCCUUCAGUUCGGCUGGACCAGUGAC
rnacentral:rRNA from 1 species